rnacentral:rRNA from 1 species
AACGAACGCUGGCGGCAGGCUUAACACAUGCAAGUCGAACGCCCCGCAAGGGGAGUGGCAGACGGGUGAGUAACGCGUGGGAAUCUACCCAGAUCUACGGAACAACAGUUGGAAACGACUGCUAAUACCGUAUACGCCCUACGGGGGAAAGAUUUAUCGGAUUUGGAUGAGCCCGCGUUGGAUUAGCUAGUUGGUGGGGUAAUGGCCUACCAAGGCGACGAUCCAUAGCUGGUCUGAGAGGAUGAUCAGCCACACUGGGACUGAGACACGGCCCAGACUCCUACGGGAGGCAGCAGUGGGGAAUAUUGGACAAUGGGCGCAAGCCUGAUCCAGCCAUGCCGCGUGAGUGAUGAAGGCCUUAGGGUUGUAAAGCUCUUUCACCGAUGAAGAUAAUGACGGUAGUCGGAGAAGAAGCCCCGGCUAACUUCGUGCCAGCAGCCGCCGCCGUAA